GCAUCGGUGGUGCCGGGGACACGCCGCCUUACUGUUCGACUAUUUCUACAAAAAUCAGGCGGAGACGGGUUCGAAUCCCGGCUGAUGCU